rnacentral:rRNA from 1 species
GAUCCUGGCUCAGGACGAACGCUGGCGGCGCGCCUAACACAUGCAAGUCGAACGAGCGAGAGAGAGCUUGCUUUCUCGAGCGAGUGGCGAACGGGUGAGUAACGCGUGAGGAACCUGCCUCAAAGAGGGGGACAACAGUUGGAAACGACUGCUAAUACCGCAUAAGCCCACGGUGCCGCAUGGCACAGAGGGAAAAGGAGCAAUCCACUUUGAGAUGGCCUCGCGUCCGAUUAGUUAG